CCGUCUCCGACGGCCGGGGCGGUUCGGCUUCCGGGGCCGGAGGGGAGGUCGGGGCCGGGGCCGGGGCCGGGGUCCUCUCCCAGGAGGCGGG
rnacentral:tRNA from 1 species